GCUGUCUGACUGUGAGGUACUGCAACAGCAGAGGGCACCAAUACUCCUUGGAAGCGUGUAGUCCGCCAAACCAAUGAAGAAGUAGAUAGCCACUUCUAAUGGUCCAGACUGACUCCACUCAGCAAGGGAGUACCCCCAGCACCCUCCCCCGAGCCAACAACCUUCUCUUUCAAUGAUCGGGGUUCAAUAUUUGGUGUUUCCGCCCGGUUCUUCGUGCAACAGAGAGAACAAAUGUGGCCGAAGUUUGGAUCUGAUAUGAGGCGAACAGAAGACCGGUCUAAAAAGAUUUAAAAAGUUGUGUUUUUUCAGGGGCAAAGCAGACCUGGAUCAAUUUUCCACAUGCAGCGGUCGGAAG